rnacentral:lncRNA from 1 species
UCGGGCACAAUGAAUUUGUUCUGCUCUAUGUUUUAUUUUGGUUUGUGUUUCAUUCAGAAAUGGAAUAAACCUCAGACCCAAAUUCAACUUAGAAAAGUAUGUCUGUUUUUGCUUUUGAAUUGAAAGAAAAAAGGGGGAAAAAAAUCACUCACCCUCUCCUUUCAAUCAAAAAGCAAAUAAAUACCAAGGAGAAGUCUUCUCACUUCAGCACCCUGGACCCUUAGGAGUCAAAAAGGAAGGAUCCUGACUACACAAGCUGUGAUGAAUUUGAUUUGACAACAGACAGCAACAAACACCUGUGUCGAGGAGGAAGUUUCAGAAUAUCUCAUCAAUGCUCAGAAGUUAAGUGACUUUUAAAAGAGUUAUAUGGAUGUUGAAAUAAGGAACUUUUUAUUUAAUAAUAGUUCACCUGUGGUGGAGGGACUAUGAGGUCAAGAGGACACUGAAAAAUUCUCCAGUGUGAAAUUCUGCAAAUUCAAUAGUAGCCUUAAUUCAGAGGAAGAUGAAAAUUCAAACUUGGAUGGGAAGACUUCACGUGACAGAGUGAAGAGAGGGGAGCACUUCCAGUUGGAGCUGUGGGGCAUCAGCCACUCUCCCACUUCCUGUGAAGCUCUGCAAACAGCUGUUGGAGAAGUCAGGUACCUGUAUUCUGCACGGACUGCUGGGCAGCGCUGACACUCUGGAGAAGGUCUGCCUCUGCACUUUCCUGGUUCUAUGCAGGCAGAUGAGUACCACAGCUGUAACUGAGGCACACGGCAAUAAACACAGUGGAGCCAAUUUCUACGAUGGCGAGAGAGGGGGCAUCAGAGUUGACAACAAUGACAAGGAUCCAAGGACCGUCCUUCUGACAAGUUUCAGGUAAGAAAAUAUUUAUGCCCCGAUUCUUGUAUUUUGCAUCCUUGUGGCUGAGAGAGACAUUGAGCUAGAAAGCAGGAGUCUCGAUAGGGAAAUAUUUGUCUGAGAGUAUCAUCUGCUGUCACUUGCCUGCAAACCUGUGUUCUCAGAGCUUUGUUAGUAGAAUCAUCGGAGGUGAGGUGUGAGCGGGGCUGGGCAGAAGGGUGAGUUGCUUUUUAAUGUCUGUCUGGUGACAUUUAUCGUGCUGUUUAAAUUCAUAUCUGGAAAAAAUGCUGUUUGAUGAUAGUUAGCAAUGUUUUGGGUAACAUAGAACAUAUGGCCGUGUAGAAUUCAAGGAUGCUCUCUCAUUCUUAAUUUGUAAUUAUUUUUACACUCAACUGUACUGAGGUCAGAGAGUUUUAAAAAUUAAUGAGAUUCCCUGUGGAGUUCAAAUAGUAAUGCCUACGUGAGCUGUUACAGAAAGAUAGGAUUAUGCGGAUAUAUUUUUAUCAUAGAUUUAACUCUCUUUUUUGAAUGUACUCCAUUUGAAAUAUUUGAAUUGUACAGUAGUUUAUGGAAGCUUAAGUAUUUAGAGAUUUUUGUCCUUAAUUUUUUUUGUUGUUGUUAAUAACCUGGAGAAAUUUUGUCAAAAUUAGACUGUGGAAGAUGAAUAUUUUCUGUGGAGUUAUUGCUAAAACUUAACAGAUAUCAUUGCUAUGACAAUGGAGAAUACCUUAUACUUUCGAGGAAAUGACAAAUAAGGAAUGAAACAGAUGCUAAGAAAAUCUGCAAAUUGCUUUCACCUUAAGUAAUAGAGAAAAAUUCAGGAGAUGGGGUAAAAACUGCUGGCAUGAACAAAGAAGCGGGUGUAUACAGAGAUGAGAAUUCUUUGUCACAAAAAUGAAUCCAGGGCAUGGAUUUAGGAGGUUAAGUGAUUUCUACAUUCUUGGUGCCCCACAAAAUGGGUGAGUCCAGGCAUUUAAAAACGUACCGAAAACUUUCAUUUCCCACAAUUUAAAAACAUUGUUUGUGUUCCUGAUACAACACAUUGUUUAAAAGAGGGGAAUUGGAAAGCAGUCUGAGUAUACAGUAAUCGGGGCUAAAGAUGCUUUUUAUCCUGAGUUCCCCAUUUACAAGACCCAUUCUGAGCUUCCUGUGAUAUAUUGUUAUGUAAAUACUGUGCAGCCAGGGAAAGCAGUACUAUGGAGAUUCAAUUUACUUUGAAAGUUGUUCAUUAUAGCAGGGAUGAAUGUUAUUUAUUUGAUGUGAUUCAAAGGCUGGAAAUGACUUUUUCAUUGUGGCGCCUUUUGUAAUGGGUGCAGGGUGAUCUAAUCUUUUUAAUUUUGGCUUUCACACCAGUGGAGAUGAAAAGAGAUCUGAACUCAUUUAUCGGUUGCUAGGUCCUUCUAGAGACCCAAGUCCUGUUCUUGGUUGCUAUGGCCAGUCUGACCUCAAUCUCUGUGGUUUUGGGGACUUAAGCAGUCUUUUUUUUUUUUUUUUUAAUUGAGGAGCAUGUACCUUGAUUUAUGUCCAAAAUUGUGGCUGAACGUCUUUGUCUGCAAGUGAUAAAUGGUGACGAACCAUUCAUCAGUUCUUACAAGUAAACACUGCUGUCCCACUAAAAAUAUGUUUUGUUCUGAGUUAAUGGUAUGGAACAAGGCAGCCUCCACACUCAGCUAUCUUUUAUUGUGGAGGGGCCUCGGAAACUUGGAGCAAAGUGGAGGAAAUUGGCAUUCAUUUUCUUGUCUGUUAGCAUUUCAUUCCUGAUUCGGAUGAUGCGGCUGUAGGUGGACGGAGGAUGAGAGGGUAAACCUUCCAAUUCUUUCCUUUCUCUUUAGUUGGGGCUGCUUAUGAAACAGGCCUUCUUCGGAUGCCAGGAUUCUGCUGGGGCACUAAGAAGUCAGGAGUAGUUUCUACGGGGUUGGCCUCCGCUUGGCAACUGCCACGAAGAGCUGAGGCAUAGACGGGCGGGUGUGCUGCGACUGGGUUGCCUUCAGUUUCACGCGGACUCUUUGAGGGAAAGUUGUAUCCAUUAUUGGUGGCUCCUAGGAACGUUCUGCCUCCAUGCUUACUUAAUGGUCCCCGGACGUCCUUGCAUUCUAGAACCUUGUUAAAAGGAGCCUUGGUGAUCAAAGAGGCUGUGGAGUAUACAGCUCGUGCUUAGCAGAUGAGCCUGCGUGCAUUUCCCCGUUUCCUUAAAAACUGAUUAAUUGAUGCUGCGGGGAGCACACAGUCUGCUAAUAAGAUGAUGAUAACAAAAAGGUAUCAGGAAAGGCAUUUAUGGCUUAUAACUGCCAUCUGAUUCCUUCCAAGAGAGAUUGCGGCUUUGUAGUGUAGUUUUCUCUUUUAAUAGUGAUAUGCUAAUGGUUUUUAUUCUAAAUUGGCCAACACUGAGUAUCUCCAGGAAAAAUGGGUUCCAUAAGAAGUGGCAUCCUCCUGGAAUUGAAAGGUAAAAAUUAAACAUUUUUUAAAGUGCAAUUUUCAAACCGUUUCCGUGUACUUCUUACCAGUAACAUUAGAAAACUGCUUUCUAAAUGAGUGUUUAAAAUUUAAACCCUUGGUCUAAACAUAAAAGGUUUAAAGAAGAAACUCUCUUAGGGAAUUUUAUUGUUAGUCAUUUGCUAAAGAUUGCCUAGGUUUUAUUAACAAAAAACAACCAGACACUUUGUAUGUUUACUUUCAGCCUUGAGAAUAAGUAGAUUUUUAUAUUUUAGAGAAAAUGGUCAUUUGAGGAUCAAUUAAAAUAAUCUUUAUCUGUUUUAUGUAGACUUUGUUUCUAGAGCUGGUUAGAGAAAACAGGAUUUGGUGAUAUAGAUGGUCUCUUCCAGCUUAAAAAUUCUUCAAAAUGUGUUAGUUUUCUGAAAAUACACACAAGGAUGCAUUAAUUAGUGUAAUUGGACUAAUUCAACUAAUGUUUAGCUCUUUAGUUGAACAGCAGUUAAAAGUUCUAUGUUCUGUUGAACAGGCAAUAAUUUUGGUGGAUGUAAUUUAAGAAAAAUUGAUUUUUGAAGAUAUUUUUACUUAACUGCUACUUUAGCGCUUUAAUAAGAGUGAGGUUUUGCAAAGCUUAAUUGUGGCUUCUUAACUUGGGUUUCUUACUUAGGUCUUCUUGAAGGUAAUGCAUUGUAUGAGUGGUUAAUUUCACGAGGAAUAUUGAAUUCCAGGUAUCGGAAGGCACAUAUUUCCCAGGAUGUGGUAUGUAUGUAUGUGUGUAUAUGGACAUAUUUUAAUAUAAAGUGUCUUAUAAAUUUCACAUUGUGUUUUGCUUUACUGUUAUUUCAAAAGAUUUAAGUGAAUGUCGAAUAGCACUCAAUUUCCUGAAAUGAUUAAAUUCAGUCUCUGAAGAAUCUGGGGAACAGGCCUGUAAUGACAUUUUGAUGACUUUCAUUUUAAGGUGUAAUAGAAAUUGAGUAAAAUAUUUUAAUAGCUAUUGUCUAAUAUCUCAUUCCAAAUACAAUGUUUUUAUUGCUCAUUCUAGCUUACAAUUUUCUGGUGAUAAUAAUGUUGGCUGCUGAUUGUUUCUUACAUAGAAAUCAUUUUAUCCUUAUGUAGAAGUAUUUUAGAAAUGUCUUCAUGAAUUUAUCUCAGCUGAAGCAAUUGUACUGAACUCUUGAGACAAAAUAGUAUUUCCUGAUUCCUCCCAUUUUAAUUUGGUACUUCCUUACAAUAUUUAGGUGUAUCUUAAAGGAACAUAUUAAAUAUUACAUAUGAUAGUUUGUGGUUUAAAGAAGAAAAAACAGUCAUUCAUAUAAGUCAGGGAAGGCUGAGGAAAGAGAAGGAAUAAAUAUUGUUACUGGCCAUUAUCACAAAAUUAAUUUGAUUUUUCUUCCAGAUAUCAUGUAUUUUUAAAAAAUUUUAAACGUGCUAACAAAUAAAAAAUAUGUGUAAAAUACGCAGUUAUUAUAUCUCUUUAUCGAAUAGGUAAGUGUAAGUAUAUAAACUUAUAUGAUUGCACCUAAUGUUACCAGAAAAAUCUUUGCACCUCAAUUCUUUCAGGAGAUGUAGACACAAGUUAAGUUAAGCAUAUGGCUUUUAAAGAAAUCUUUUGAGAACUGGAGUUGUGACACAUUAGAUCAAUUUUCAUGUUAAGUCAAAAUGAAAUCCUUAAAUCAGUUUUUCUGUGUAUGUUACACAAAGCCAUUAGCUUUCAAAUUGCAUUGUUCUAAAUGCUAAUUAGAAAAAAUUUAUGUAAUUUAACUCGACUGUAGUGAAUAUUUAAAGUCAGAAUAUAAUAUUAUUGCUGAAUUAACAUGCCAUAAGUACAUUUUUUAAAGUAAAAUUAUGCUCUAGUAUCAGAUUAUUAUCCUCUUCUAAUGUGUUUAUUGAAUUUUCCCAAGUUUGGUUUCUUCUUGUAAUUAAUAUUCCUUUCAACACACCAGUGUUGCAGGGUUAUAGAUUCCUCUUAGUUGCUUUCUGCCUCCUAUAGCUUUGGUUUUUGUCUUUUUGGUAUAACAUUAUUCUGUCACCUAGAAAGUUGUAUUGACUUUGAAGGUAUUUGUCUGAACUAUUUGUCUGAGUUUGGGGUU